GUAAAGCGAUCUGGCAGUGAUAUCCUUCACUCCUUCGAUUACUGGGGUGGUUCUGCUGACCUGGCUCCUUAGGCUGGGGUCUCCUUCCUCUCUCGCUGUCACAUAUGUGUCUCUAUUGACGCUAUGCAUUCUAUGGAAGGUGGAAGAGGAUGAGAUCACACAAAGAUGACAUUCCCACAUAAGAGGAGGAGGAGUGGUCCUAAGUGAAGGGCAUAUGAGUAACUGCACUCCUGUGUUAGAACCUCCAAAGAAGUUCUCAAAUUCCAAAUGUGGUUAUAGAAUUCUUCUCUUAUUGAAGCAGAUUUGUUUUCUUGAUUACC
ensembl:misc_RNA 7SK 7SK RNA